rnacentral:rRNA from 1 species
UACGUAGGGGGCAAGCGUUAUCCGGAUUUACUGGGUGUAAAGGGGGCGCAGACGGCGAUGCAAGCCAGGAGUGAAAGCCCGGGGCCCAACCCCGGGACUGCUCUUGGAACUGCGUGGCUGGAGUGCAGGAGGGGCAGGCGGAAUUCCUGGUGUAGCGGUGAAAUGCGUAGAUAUCAGGAGGAACAUCGGUGGCGAAAGCGCUUUACUGGACCAUUAUUGACGCUGAGGAACGAAAGCCAGGGGAGCAAAUGGG